AAUUCAGUUUAGGGUUUAAAACCCUAAUGUCGAUUGCAUGGAAAAACUCAGUUUAGGGUUUAAAACCCUAAUGCUGGCUGGAAGAAAAAGUUCAGUUUAGGUUUUAAAACCCUAAUGCUGACUAAAAGGAAAAGUUCAGUUUAGGGUUUAAAACCCUAAUGCUGACUAAAAGGAAAAUUCAGUUUAGGGUUUAAAACCCUAAUGCUGAUUGCAUGGAAAAGCUCAGUUUAGAGUUUAAAACUCUAAUGCUGGCUGAAAGGAAAAAGUUCAGUUUAGGGUUUAAAACCCUAACGCUGACUACAUGGAAAAAGAUCAGUUUAGAGUUUAAAACUCUAAUGCUGGCUGAAAGGAAAAUUCAGUUUAGGGUUUAAAACCCUAAUGCUGAUUGCAUGGAAAAGCUCAAUUUAGAGUUUAAAACUCUAAUGCUGGCUGAAAGGAAAAUUCAGUUUAGGGUUUAAAACCCUAAUGCUGACUGCAUGGAAAAGCUCAGUUUAGAGUUUAAAACUCUAAUGCUGGCUGAAAGGAAAAUUCAGUUUAGGGUUUUAAAACCCUAAUGCUGAUUGCAUGGAAAAGCUCAGUUUAGGGUUUAAAACUCUAAUGCUGACUAAAGGAAAAAGUUCAGUUUAGGGUUUAAAACCCUAAUGCUGACUAAAGGAAAAGCUCAGUUUAGGGUUUAAAACCCUAAUGCUGACUGCAUGGAAAAGCUCAGUUUAGGGUUUAAAACCCUAAUGUUGGCUGAAUGGAAAAAAUUAAGUUUAGGGUUUAAAACCCUAAUGCUGAUUGCAUGGAAAAGCUCAGUUUAGGGUUUAAAACCCUAAUGUUGGCUGAAUGGAAAAAAGUUCAGUUUAGGGUUUAAAACCCUAAUGCUGACUAAAGGAAAAAUUUAGUUUAGGGUUUAAAACCCUAAUGUUGACUGCAUGGAAAAGCUGAGUUUAGGGUUUAAAACCUUAAUGCUGGCUGAAUGGAAAAAAUUCAGUUUAGGGUUUAAAACCCUAAUGCUGACUAAAAGAAAAAUUUAGUUUAGGGUUUAAAACCCUAAUGCUGACUAAAAUUCAAAUUUAGUUUAGGGUUUAAAACCCUAAUGCUGACUGCAUGGAAAAGCUAAGUUUAGGGUUUAAAACCCUAAUGCUGACUAAAGGAAAAAGUUCAGUUUAGGGUUUAAAACCCUAAUGCUGACUAAAGGGAAAAUUCAGUUUAGGGUUUAAAACCCUAAUGCUGACUGCAUGGAAAAGCUCAGUUUAGGGUUUAAAACCCUAAUGCUGGCUGAAUGGAAAAAAUUCAGUUUAGGGUUUAAAACCCUAAUGCUGACUAAAUGAAAAAUUCAGUUUAGGGUUUAAAACCU
rnacentral:lncRNA from 1 species